AGGCCUUUAAGUUAAAGAGACUAUUGAUCUUCAAAUUCAAAAGUGGGGUUAAUUCCUUAAGGCCUG
rnacentral:tRNA from 2 species